UACGGAGGGUGCAAGCGUUAUCCGGAUUCACUGGGUUUAAAGGGUGCGUAGGAGGGCAGGUAAGUCAGUGGUGAAAUCCCCGAGCUUAACUUGGGAACUGCCGUUGAUACUAUCUGUCUUGAAUAUUGUGGAGGUGAGCGGAAUAUGUCAUGUAGCGGUGAAAUGCUUAGAUAUGACAUAGAACACCAAUUGCGAAGGCAGCUCGCUACACAUAUAUUGACGCUGAGGCACGAAAGCGUGGGGAUCAAGCAGA
rnacentral:rRNA from 1 species